rnacentral:tRNA from 1 species
GGAGAGGUGGCCGAGUGGUUGAAGGCGGCAGAUUGCUAAUCUGUUGUGCGGUUUUUCCGUACCGAGGGUUCGAAUCCCUUCUUCUCCU